GGCCGGUGAUGCAUGAUUAAUUUGUCCGUACCAUCUGAGACUCUGUCUCUGACGAAUGAAAUUCUUGAAUCUGAGGCCC